GAUGAAGAACGCAGCGAAAUGCGAUAAGUAAUGUGAAUUGCAGAAUUCAGUGAAUCAUCGAACCUUUGAACGCACCUUGCGCCCUUUGGCUAUUCCGAAGGGCAUGCCUGUUUGAGUAUCGUGAACACCUCAACUCUCAUGGUUUGCCAUGAUGAGCUUGGACUUUGGGGGUUUUGCUGGCCUUUGGUCGGCUCCUCUCAAACGGAUCAGCUUUCCAGUGUUUGGUGGCGUCACGGGUGUGAUAACUAUCUACGCCUGUGGUUUUCUGCCAGAUAACCUUCAGCGAUGGAGGUUCGCUGGGGCUCAUAAAUGUCUCUCUUCAGUGGAGACAGCUUUUUGGACGUUUGAUCUCAAAUCAGGUAGGACUACCCGCUGAACUUAAGCAUAUCAAUAAGCGGAGGA
rnacentral:misc_RNA from 1 species